AUUGUUGGAUUUCUCAACGAAAGUGUCGAAUCAGGUUUUUACCAUAAACUCGUCUCCUCAAUAAAAACUGAUACAAUUAUAAAAAAGAGAAAACAACCAAACAGAAAAUAUAUGGGUAAAAUAAGAUUCAUUAAAUAAGAAAAGAUUACACCUGACUCCUCUUUUAUAAUAGAGUAGCUGCAACCUCGAGCUCUCUUUUUGAAUCUCUCCUAUCCUUCUUUGGUCUUCUAUAGUCUCAGAAGACAUCUCUCUCAUUUUGUACAUCCGUGCACAUUGUAUACCAAUGACUCACGGCUACAAAAGCUGCUCACGUCCUUUUGCACCCAUGCAUUAGAUGCAUUCAAAAUUAUGACCAUCUUGGCCAUGCCAUAUGGGUGUGGCUAAUCUAUACUAUUACCACCACAAUAAUAGCACGUAUGUUAUAUUUAUAGCUUACAUCAAAAACUACCCAAAUCCUAAUCCAAUUAGUUUUCUACUCUAAUUAAUAUUUAAAUCUUAAUUUAUCUCCACCAGAUUUAAAUGUUAAUCCUAAUCCAAUUAGAAUUCAACUACAAAUCUAACCAAACCCUAACAAAUUAUACUAUUCUAACAUAUGUUGUACUAUU
rnacentral:lncRNA from 1 species